GACUAUGGCCAUGCUACCCUGAACAAGCCCAAUCCUGCCUGAUCUCGGAAGCUAAACAGGAUGGGACCUGGUUAGUACUUGGAUAGGAGACCACCUAGGAUGACCAGGUAUUGUAGUUG
ensembl:rRNA 5S_rRNA 5S ribosomal RNA